UUUAUGGAGAGUUUGAUCCUGGCUCAGGAUGAACGCUGGCGGCGUGCCUAAUACAUGCAAGUCGAGCGAACUGACGAGGAGCUUGCUCCUUUGACGUUAGCGGCGGACGGGUGAGUAACACGUGGGUAACCUACCUAUAAGACUGGAAUAACUCCGGGAAACCGGGGCUAAUGCCGGAUAACAUAUCGAACCGCAUGGUUCGAUAGUGAAAGACGGUCUUGCUGUCACUUAUAGAUGGACCCGCGCCGUAUUAGCUAGUUGGUGAGGUAAUGGCUCACCAAGGCAACGAUACGUAGCCGACCUGAGAGGGUGAUCGGCCACACUGGAACUGAGACACGGUCCAGACUC
rnacentral:rRNA from 1 species